GCUGAUGUCGCAGCAACGGCCAUCAUUCUGCAUAGCAACAAUGACGUCAAUGGACCCUGGACCAACCAGACGAAGACAACUCCACACUUCCUUUUUGAAAAAUUGUAUGAGACUGGGUCCAGGAAGAGAUAGUUUUGUUCGGUCUACACCAUCUCUGCUAAGGCUAAGAUAGGCGUAGCUGCUGAUCCAGAGCUCUGAAGUAUGUAUAGACUCCUCUGUCAGGAAUAAAUUGGUUGGCUUUUAACACGUCGUUAUAAUCGUAGUUCUUUCAGGAAAACGAAUACGCUUGGAACCUCGAGAGUUAAUAGGUGAUUUUAAAAACACAGGUUACUUUAAAUCGUGACCCCCACGUGAUCCUGGAAGGACAUCAGAUAAAAGGACAGGAGUGGACAGGGAUUCAAUUGGAGUGCAAUCUCCCCGGUGCACCGACAGAAAGAGGGUGCCGCAGUGGACGAGAGGGUGUUGGAGCAUGUGACACUGGUGCAAUUCCAUGGCAGAGAGCUCUUGGACAAUGAGGACGCCGAACAGCUGUUGAACUCACUGCCGGACUCACUGUGGUCUGAGGGGCCUGCCGAUGGGGGACUAUGUGCAUCCGUGACGCCGGUCACGUUCUAGCUCCUCUUUCAGGUGGUCGGGUAUUCUUCACCAACGGCUGCUGCUGGAGACAUACCUCGGGACCGCUACAAGCGGGGGGUGCCUUCUUUGAGGCCCUGACCCCAGGAGACACAAAUUCUGACUUCCAAACGCUUUGAUCCACAAAUGACUUUGUGAAACCCUCUGCUCAAGCUGCAGAAUUGCUGGCCAUGUGCAGGGACUGGAGUUAUCUGAGUGUAACUUUUUAUUCUGAUUUGGCCCAUGUUGGAGGAUGCUUGUUUGUUGAUUUGGCUGCAUGGAGACGACAGGGUUUUGUUACGUCCACUGGCGACCCAGUGGCCCACGCAGAGCUGAUUCAACGACUGAGCGAGGCUGUUGAUAAGCCAGUGGAGGUGGCUGUGGUCAAGUGUCCAGGACAUGUGAAAGCGAGCACACUGGUAACCCAGGGGAAUGGUGCAGCUGAUGAGAAAGAAAGCUAAGAAAGCAGCAGGCUAUCAAACGGAUGCUGAAGGUAACUAUGUUGUCAAACAGGAUCAGUUGAUUGACUUACUCCCUGCAGUAACGGUUGAUGUAGUGCGCGACCUCCAAGAGGCGGUGCCAGAGGAAGACAAACGUAAGUGGCAAAAGAAAGGUGCUGAGUAUGACGACAAGAAGAAGCUGUGGUUUGGCCCGGCGAGAGGCCCUAGGAGACUGGUGUUACCGACAGGAAAGUUCAUGCGGUUAGUGGUUGAGGAAGCGCACGCCCCGGCACAUGAGAGUUAUGUGUCGAUGCUGAACAAGCUGUGCUUUUGGUGGCACCCUGAUCUUCUGCGUAAGGUAAAAGAGUUUUAUGUUUCUUGUGAUAUAUGUCAGAAUUUCAGUGUUGGAGAGGAGAGGGAAAUGCAACACACUGAGAUGGGCCAAUGCCCGAAUGAUGUGGUGGUAAUGGACUACACCGACAUGGUAGCCCCAGUCCAAGGAAAAAGGUACCUAUUAAUGAUUGUCGACACUUUUUCUGCAUGGCCCGAAGCCUAUCAUUGUGCAAAAGAGGACGCGCCGUCCAUCAUCAAAGCGCUGGUUAACCAUUAUAUCCCAACACAUGGGUUUCGUCGAGUAAUCAGAUUGGACAAUGGUACCCAUUUUACGGCUAAUUCGUUGGCUACGGACGAAUCCAUGCUGGGGCUCAAACACAAAUUUGGCUCAGUCUAAUAUCCUCAGUCCCAGGCCCAUGUGGAAAGGAUGAAUUGGACGGUCAAACAACGGCUGGCGAAAACGUGUGCACACACAGGGCUUAAUUGGCUGCAUGCCCUGCCCCUUGUUGUGUUCUCCAUCAGGCAAGCAAUUAACCGCAGGAGAAGGUUCACUCCUUACCGGCCGCCUGAUGCCUGGUCCAGCCUCGGCUUCGCUCCAGCCGGACAUGGAACCGCCAAAGGGCUAUAAGCCCUACUGGGAGCAACUGUCAUCUCUUGUGUCCUCGCUUUGUGUUUCAGAUCCCUCUGUUGCAGACGUCCAAGUCAGUCACCCUUCCCUUCCAACUUACGUGUAUUUGAAAGGGCUCCAAGGGAAGUGGUCUGAACCACAGUGGACUGGUCCGUUUGAGGUUACAGUUCGGACAUCUCACGCCCUGCGUCUCUUUGGAAAGGGGGGCAAGUGGUACCACAUGUCACAGACAUGCCCUGCGCAGGCCUCUAUUGUAGAGAGGGAAAAAAAAGAGUGGGCCUCUCGUGCCUGAGUGACUUUCUGCUGUAUUGUGUAUGCUGGACGUUUCUUUUUGCGUGCUGUUAUUCGCCGAGGUCGUUUUUACCUAGUCUACCUAGUUUCAUUUAUUUUCAUUCAUUUUUCAUUUCUUUCAUCUUUGUGUAUGUGUGUAUGGAUAUUGCGUUUUGGUGUUAAAUUGAUCAUUUAACAUUGGGUGAAAAUAUGUACAUCCUGUAUGUCUGGCCGAAGAAGGUCAUAAUCAUGACUCUGGUGAUCUCUUUGAUUAUAGUUACAGGAAUCUAUUUCGGAAUGCCCUCAAACCAAGAAGAACGAGUGGGAAAGCGCCGUGAAGCCAACAGGGGCCCUAGAGUUGAACUACACGCUGGGGGAAAUUCCGGUACACCAAUUUGAUUUGUGUAAGGUGAUAGAUUGUGUAAACUGGGGCGAUCCGGCGGGGUACAACAUUUACUUGUGCGCUUUGAGUAGAGGACAUGGAGCAGCUAACCGGUACCCGGUAAACCAUAAGUUCAGCGCGGACCACCAGGUAGAUUCAUGUUUCAGCUGGGAGCAGGUGAUUAUCCACUCGAAACCGGGAUACUGGGAGCCGAUGAAGGGUAGGAAUUGGCAGUGGAAGGACAGGAUCAAACUUGAAAAAGGUAGUAUGUACCCGGUAACCCCUGGGGACCGACACCCCGUACUGCUUGUAUGACCUUCUAUGAUAUAAAUAGCCCCCCAUUGAAAGAGUGGGGCGAACCAGUGCCAACCUUUACGGUCUUAACCUUGGGUACUGAUGCCUCAGGGGCCGACCCCCUAGGACAGAUUAUUAUUAAUUGGCUACAACCGACAAAAAAAAUCUAAUCCAAUAAUGAGAAAAUUUGCUAAUUUAACAGUAUAAAAAAACGUGGAUCCGGUGGUUUUUCGAACCUCUAACAUGACGGCAUAUGACCUAAAUAAUGACUUGGUCCAGGGAAUGGUAUACCGAUGUAUGCCAGAGGUGGCUAAGGGGCGAUCGUCAGGGAUUAAUACAGGAAAUUUUUGUUUUAAAGAAAUUAUUGUGGAAGGUAGGGACGCAGUCAAAAUCAAUCAAAAAGACUGCCUUGUCUGUGCUACUAUGAAUAACCUCAAUUGGAUUGUUAACUCUGUGAUCCAGGAAAUUUUUACUGCUGCUACUAAGUUCGCGUCGUGAUGACUAAAGACAAUCUGGAGGGUGAGUGCCAGCACUGGCACCACGUGUAUCCUCUAACAAAGGUAAAAGGCGCUCCCCUCUAUGAUGUUGAAAUGGUCCCGUCCCUACCUUGCAUCUCCCAAAAUAAGAGUAAGGUAACUUUUGGCCACAACAACAAACUAUCUCGACCAAUUGGCCACCUGGAUCCACAGUUUUGUAAUGUCACACUUUCAAUUGACUAUUAUAAAGCGGCCCGAUUGAGAAAGACGAGGUCCAAUUUGUGGUGGAUGUGUUGUGAGUUGUCAGUUGUGGGACUUCCUGCCCAGUGGAUGGACAGGCACAUAUGCAUUGAUUUCUAUGAUAACCCCCACGGUGAUCAAGCCUCUCUCUGAGCAAGAAAACAACCACAUUGCGGCUUUCACCUGGGGGCAUGACUGGUGGGGUUGCUUAACCCGCUCCCGCCGUUUGGUCAAUGGCUUCAAUGUGGGUGGAAACGCCUGGGAAGCAGGAGAAGACCCCACCUUCCUUGAUCCCAUCGGAGUUCCCAGAGGUGUCCCGGAUGAUUUCCGCAGGUCUUGAGAGUAUUUUCAUAUGGGUAACCCCGAAUAAAAAUGUUGAUUUUAUUAAUUACCAUCAAUACCAAAUUCAAAGACUGGUGAAUUUCCCCUCCCAAUUGGCACAGGGCGUCCAUGAGCAACUAUCAGCUACCUCUCUCAUGGCAUUCCAGAAUAGGCUGGUCCUCGAUAGUAUGUUAGCGGAAGAAGGGGGUGCCUGCUCUCGAAUCAAGGGUCACUGUUGAAUGAUUAUCCCCAACAAUACGGCACCAAACGGAAAGAUCACCAGAGCCAUGUAAGGUUUGCAAGCCAUGUCUGUUAAAUUUAAAUUAAUGUCCGGAGUGGAUGACGACCCAUUCCAUAGCCUGCUGAACAGGAUGUUUGGUAAAUGGAAAGGUCUCAUGCUGACUUUGGCAACUACCAUCCUGGUUGUCAUUACUGUGCUUGCUUUGUGUGCUUUGUGUGUCCUUUAUCAUUCCUUGUCUCAGGAGUCUUAUCCUCCGGAUUGUCCACAAGGCCUUUGAGGGGAAGGACCCCCACGGCCAUGGUCAGUUGCUGCCCCCGAAAGAGGACGUGGAGACCAAAAGCGCGCUCGCUCCGUUCGACAUGGCCUUGUGAUGGGACGUGGUCGGUUUCCUGGACGAGGGCCUCCCAAUCGAUGAACACGGUGAAAGCUACGGUCAGCAGACAUGGAGAGGUCUUCUUCCCAUUUGGUGAUUGGCUUGUGUGCAUCAUGCUCCACUGCUCGCCGUCGCUUCCAUGUUGAUUACAAGCCAGUGACGUGGAGCGAGGCCUUGCGUUACUGCAAAGCCAAGCAUCACAACCUCGCCACUGUGCAUGACGAGGAGGACGUGAAGACCUUGAUGGACACGGUCAAACUCAACAGGAUGCACAAAGGAGAACAGAAAAAUGGACUACAUUGCAGGAGUUAUGCACCCUCUUGAAGCCAUUUGAGAGGUGACUGUUGAACUCAGUGCAGAAAGCUACGUGACUGCCUCCAAAGCAAUACUGCUGGCCAGGCGACUGCAAAGAGCCACGGCUGAUUUCCAGAGGAGGGUAACAACACAGGCAGCAAAAGACAUGGUCAACUCCGUUUCUUCUGGCAGGUCAGCUAGAUUCCAUAGAAUGAAUCCAACCACAUCCUUGCGGAUGCUGCUGCUUUUGACCCAAGAUUCAAAAGGAUGGCAUUCGGGGCAGAACUGCAGACGAGGCUUUUCAAAGAGUAUCCACUGCAGCAACAAGACUCACAAUUAGCAGCAGCAACCGCAUCCAGCAACCGUUCCAAGAAGAAAGAGCAGGCAGUGCUGCUCCGGAAUCAGUCGUUUAGAGCUAUUAUCAUGAGGAACUAAGCUGGAACAGUGGCAACUCGGAACCCCACAGCAGACAAUGUCAUGGAGGUGCUGGCGUCCCAAGAGGAGCCUCUUGUUCCAAAAAAUGAACAUCCUCUCAAGUGGUUGAAAAGUCAGGUGCCUGUGUACACCAGGCUUAGCAAACUCAUGGCUAAGAAGCUUUGCGUUGUGGCCAAGUCAGUUCCAUCUGAGAGAAUUUUCUCUAAAACUGGACAAAUAAUCACAGAGAGGAAAAGUCGCCUCAAGCCUGCAAAAGUGAAAUCACUUGUCUUCCUUAAUGCACUUGUCUUCCUUAAUUUGCCCAAUGACAAGAAGGAGAGGCCAUAAAACAUGGAACUGCUUUAUUAUUUUUGGGAAUGUCAUUUAUUUUGUUUGUGUCUGUCUUGUUUACGCUUUUUUUUAUUGGAGUUGUGGUUCAGAGUAAAGGGACUGAUCUCCUGUUUUUGUAGGUCAGGUAUAGGCAACUACUCACCCAGGGACAGUUCAGGAGUCCUCCUCAGGCUUUAGCUCUAUUUUAAUUUUUUUACAAAGCAACUAUAUGCACCUCAGGACAGUUCACCAGUCCAUUCUACAGUUUUUAUUAGUAGUACUAGUGGGCUGUGUGCACAUUUUCUUUCUCACAUUUUUUUUUGUUUUAUCUAUUUUUUUUAAUACUUGAAGUAUUGUUUUUGAGUUCCAUCCAACCAUGUUCUGAGCCGCUUAUCCUCACAAGUGUCGCGGGAGUGCCGCAGCCUAUCCCAGCUAUCUUCGGGCAGGAGGCGGGGAACACCCUGAACUGGUUGCCAGCCAAUCGCAGGGCACACAUAAACAAACAACCAUUCGCACACACAUUCACACCUACGGGCAAUUUAGAGUCUUCAAUUAACAUACCAUGCAUGUUUUUGGAAUGUGGGAGGAAACCAGAGUGCCCGGAGAAAAUCCACGCAGACACGGAGAGAACAUGCAAACUCCACCCAGGCGGGGCCGGGAUUUGAACCCCGGUCCUCAGAACUGUGAGGCAGACGCUCUAACCAGUUUGUACACCGUGCCACCUGCUUUUGAGUUUUCUAUCAAAACAUGUUUGUGUGGAACGUUUUUCUCUAAAAUUUGCACUAAAACAAGACAUGGUGUUACUGACUAGCAACUUAGUAUUUUUUUUACAUCACCUUUAAUCUUUAUUAUAAGCCGUUAUUAUAUAAUUUUAAAAUAUUGUUUUGAGCUUUUCUGUAUUGUUAAAAAUGUUCAUGGGUGGAAUUUCUGCACUAAAAGCUUUUGCAUGGAACUUCA